rnacentral:rRNA from 1 species
UGGGGGAUAACGUAGGGAAACUUACGCUAAUACCGCAUACGACCUACGGGUGAAAGCAGGGGACCUUCGGGCCUUGCGCGAUUGAAUGAGCCGAUGUCGGAUUAGCUAGUUGGCGGGGUAAAGGCCCACCAAGGCGACGAUCCGUAGCUGGUCUGAGAGGAUGAUCAGCCACACUGGAACUGAGACACGGUCCAGACUCCUACGGGAGGCAGCAGUGGGGAAUAUUGGACAAUGGGCGCAAGCCUGAUCCAGCCAUACCGCGUGGGUGAAGAAGGCCUUCGGGUUGUAAAGCCCUUUUGUUGGGAAAGAAAUCCAGCCGGUUAAUACCUGGUUGGGAUGACGGUACCCAAAGAAUAAGCACCGGCUAACUUCGUGCCAGCAGCCGCGGUAAUACGAAGGGUGCAAGCGUUACUCGGAAUUACUGGGCGUAAAGCGUGCGUAGGUGGUUGUUUAAGUCUGUUGUGAAAGCCCUGGGCUCAACCUGGGAACUGCAGUGGAAACUGGACAACUAGAGUGUGGUAGAGGGUAGCGGAAUUCCCGGUGUAGCAGUGAAAUGCGUA